rnacentral:rRNA from 1 species
GAUGAACGCUAGCGGGAGGCCUAACACAUGCAAGCCGAGCGGUAUAGAUCUUUCGGGAUCUUGAGAGCGGCGUACGGGUGCGGAACACGUGUGCAACCUGCCUUUAUCUGGGGGAUAGCCUUUCGAAAGGAAGAUUAAUACCCCAUAAUAUUUAGAAUGGCAUCAUUUUAAAUUGAAAACUCCGGUGGAUAGAGAUGGGCACGCGCAAGAUUAGAUAGUUGGUGAGGUAACGGCUCACCAAGUCUGCGAUCUUUAGGGGGCCUGAGAGGGUGAUCCCCCACACUGGUACUGAGACACGGACCAGACUCCUACGGGGGGCAGCAGUGAGGAAUAUUGGACAAUGGGUGAGAGCCUGAUCCAGCCAUCCCGCGUGAAGGACGACUGCCCUAUGGGUUGUAAACUUCUUUUGUAUAGGGAUAAACCUACUCUCGUGAGAGUAGCUGAAGGUACUAUACGAAUAAGCACCGGCUAACUACGUGCCAGCAGCCGCGGUAAGAC